rnacentral:rRNA from 1 species
GAAGAAGGGGGAUAGCGUUGCUCGGAAGCAAGGGGCGUAAAGGGGGCGUAGGCGGGUCUUCAAGUCAGGGGUGAAAGACGGUAGCUUAACUAUCGCAGUGCCUUUGAUACUGAUAGGCUUGAAUGUACUUGAGGUAGGCGGAAUGUGACAAGUAGCGGUGAAAUGCAUAGAUAUGUCACAGAGCACCACUUGCGAACUCCGCUUACUAAAGUAUGCUUGACGCUGAGGCACGCGAUCCUGGGGAUCAAACAGG